CAAACACCAGUGUUAAGAUUCAAAUUGCUCGGGAUUUGCGGAGUCAGACGAAGAGGGAGAGUCUUCGAGUGUCCUCAGGGGAGCGGAGAAGGCAGAGACGGGCCAGGAGAUCAAAGCUUCGGAGAGUGUCCUUGGUCGUUCUGGUUGGCUAAGGCUGGCGUUCAGUCGGUGGAGCCACCCCAGCCAGGGCACGGUGGCAAUAUCUUCCAGCUCAUUGCACCAGGCCGAAGCCACACUCGGGGGAUCUUAUUCAAAACAGAGGCCCCCCACCAGUGGAAUCAGGGGUGGAGUUUCCAUGAUCCGAAUCCCAUCUAUGCUUCAAAUCAAACCAAAGAGGCACGACAGCAGGCUCAUUCACGGCAUGGAGACCAGAAUGAGACCGUGCGUGAACCAGAACCACCACCGAGAGAACCGUGCACUGUUCAGAACUGCGACUAGACGGCGUUACCAGAAGAGACCGUGGAGUGCAAUUGAUCACGAUGGGGUUAUCUUAACCGGGACAGUUAGAAAGAAGCCCUUCAUGGAAGUCCUAAGGAUGUGCACAUGUGUGCGUAUAAGAAACCGGUGUAAUAUUGGGCUGCUGCUAUUGUCUUCAAAAUGAAUUGAACGGUGGGAAUGGGAAAACAGAAUAGCUCAUAAUUCAAGCGUGCCGCGGGUUACGAUAAUGUCAAGUCAGGUAGCAGGGCGCACGUGGUGGUAGAUGGCGCCCAAGGCACCAAGUCACCUUCCCAAACGGAGGGAUCCAUGAACAGCACACGUACUUAAGCAGCCAUAUGGGAAUCUGCCAAAAUGACUUUCUGUGCCCUCUGAUAAAUGUCCCCUGGGCUGUCUCUUUCUUAUAUAUAUAUAUAAAAACAUUAUUUGUGAAGACAAAUGGCACUUUCUGCAAAGUUUUGCAGACCACAUUCAAAUAAGAGUACAUUGUCUUCCAUUGUUCAUAAGACAUAAUUAAUCCCAUAAGACAACCUUGCCACAAAGUAAACGAAGGAAAAACAGAUUUUUCGGAAUUCUAAAUAUAGCGUCAGCAAAGAAUAAAAAUCGUUACUCGGGAAACAAGGGUUAGAACUUUAUUGCUUAGAACGUACUACUUUGAAUAAUCUCACAACAGAAAGAAGCCAAAUCAAAGUCAACGCAAGCGCUCUAGGAAGACUUUUUACCAGGUGUAACCAGAGGGCCCCGUGCCAAGUUACUGUGUUUCAAGGUCUCUCCACUUCUUUCUAACAGCCUCCAACCUACACAUUAAGCUCUGUGUAAAUCUCAGAGCAAAGACAAGCGCUCACAACGAGAUCGCAUGCACCCGCUGGGUCCUGCUCGCUGAGGAAGCGGCCCCGGGUGAAGGCGAACGCCCCCUGCGCAGGCCCGGCCCUACGGAGCGCGAGGGCAGGGCCAGAGGUGGGCAGAGGGGACUGCGGGCACAUCUUCAGACACUUAACAGGAAAUGGCUGGGCUCUGGACAAUGUGAGCUCAGUAAGAUGUUUGGAGACGCAGGAGGAGCUGUUUGCCUGCAGAGUUGCAACCCCCUGUAACGGAGACAGCGUGAUCUCCGCCCAGCUCUCCGCGCUCUGUAUCAAAUGCAGAGCCUCCACCUCCGCUG